GGCUAUGAGAUGGAACCAGAUUCCUUGAACCUACAACAGUCUAUGUGUUUCCUGCCAGCUUGAACUCCAGUCCCUGACCUCCUGAUGACUUGAACACAGUUCCCACACUGAGGCACCAGAAGCCACUAGAUGGAGUCUGCCCACAGCGGUUCUGAGUUCUGAGCUCAGUUGGCCCCUCUCCAAGAUGGCUACCAGCCAGUCAUCCUCUCCUGUGUGAGGGCUGAAUCCAGAUAACUCACCCGCCACUGCAGUCCGAUGUGUCCACUGCUCCAUUCCGCUGGUAUGAGACAGCAGAGGUGUUGACCAACCUACCAACUGCCUGGAUCAUGGAGAAGGCCUAUGCCCAGGGAGAGAAGAGCUUGCAACCCUCUGAGAUUACCUUUUCUCCUUGGAUGUUAUCUUCUUCCAAGAAAAG